GAUGAACGCUGGCGGCGUGCCUAAUACAUGCAAGUCGAGCGAACAGACGAGGAGCUUGCUCCUCUGAUGUUAGCGGCGGACGGGUGAGUAACACGUGGAUAACCUACCUAUAAGACUGGGGUAACUUCGGGAAACCGGAGCUAAUACCGGAUAACAUGUUGAACCGCAUGGUUCAACAGUGAAAGACGGUCUUGCUGUCACUUAUAGAUGGAUCCGCGCCGCAUUAGCUAGUUGGUAAGGUAACGGCUUACCAAGGCAACGAUGCGUAGCCGACCUGAGAGGGUGAUCGGCCACACUGGAACUGAGACACGGUCCAGACUCCUACGGGAGGCAGCAGUAGGGAAUCUUCCGCAAUGGGCGAAAGCCUGACGGAGCAACGCCGCGUGAGUGAAGAAGGUCUUCGGAUCGUAAAACUCUGUUAUUAGGGAAGAACAAAUGUGUAAGUAACUAUGCACGUCUUGACGGUACCUAAUCAGAAAGCCACGGCUAACUACGUG
rnacentral:rRNA from 1 species